rnacentral:misc_RNA from 1 species
UUUCCGUAGGUGAACCUGCGGAAGGAUCAUUAUUAAAUGCGAAGCCUCACGGCCUAGCUUUAUAAUCCCUUAUUACACCUGUGCACCUUAUUGUCUUCGGACAAUUUACUACAAACAUCAGUGUAACGAAUGUAAAGUAUUAUAAUCAAUACAACUUUCAACAACGGAUCUCUUGGCUCUCGCAUCGAUGAAGAACGCAGC